GCCACGUAGCACAUGUGCCACCAGGGAGCUGUGACGUUAGUUUCCCUACAAGAAAUCAGAAACAUUUCAAGGUUUAAAGUCUGUGUUGGAGGAGGGGUUUGGUAGGGGAAGUGACAUCCAAAAGGAAAAGGAGGACACAGCCCACAGAGGACCACCACCACCCAGGAGAACCACCACCCAGGAGAACCACCACCGUCGGCCUUCAGCACAUACAGAGGCAGUAAAUUGCAUCUCCAGUUUAUUUAAAAGUGAAGCCUCACACUGUAACAAAAGACAUCAAUAAUGACUGGCCAGACCUGUGGAGUGCUAAACAAUCAGAAGACUUCAAAUCCAAGAACCCCUGGUCAGGAUCCGAAAACAAAAAAUUGGGAUGUCUGGACUGUAGCAGUGUGAACCCCAUUGUGAUCGACAAGGAGCAAGGUGAAUCACUCUCAAGAGAAUGUCAAGUGUCUGGCCGGGGAAGUAGAACAACAUUCUGUCAUUCUUGAGAAAUAAGGUGAGGAAACAUACGUUGUCCAAGGCCCACACUCAGGCUGUGAAGGUGGCAGAGCAACAGAAAGCAGCUGCCAUUGAGAAUGCAGUGGAGACUAUGACUGAGGGAAACUGAAGCCGUGUUUCGAACAGCCUAUACCAUCUGGCCAAAAUGAACCAACCCUUUUCUGACCAUGAGAGCCUCAUUGAGCUGCAGGAACUGAAUGGUGUAAAAAUGGGCUCAAUACUUCAUUCACGUUACGUCAGUAGCAUUACAGCAUCAUCCAGUAAGUUCGCUGUCCUAAUAGAUGAGGCCUCACAAAGCUUUCAUGACAGUUUCUUUUAAAGGAUCAAUUCAAGAACAAAGCCCUGAGGUCAUAUUCCUGGAACUUAUUGAACUGGAAAAUCGGAGAGCCCAUUGGCAUAGUACUGGCGUGAAGAACAAGUUAAGCGACUGUGCAAGCGAUUUAACUUGUGCACAGACCAAGCACUGGCUGGGAUGCGGGACCUACUGGAAGAGCCCAGUAGUGAGCCCAAGGACCUAAACCCACUUAGGAACUGUAUGGAACUGUAUGAAAACAUUCCCUGUCAGUACAGCAGAGUGUGAGAGGAACUUUAGCCUUAUGAACAAUAUAAGCUCAGACAAGAGGGCUGCCCUUCCGAUCUCAAACAUAUCAAACUUGAUGAUGAUUAAUAUCAACGGCCCACCAACUUCCAAGUUUGAUCCUAGAAAAUAUACAAGGACCUGUUUGAAGAGCCAUCGUGCUGCCUCUUCUGUGCGUUCUAGACAGUGCAGUGUGAUGGAAUAUGGAAUAUACUGUAGUAUGAGCAAAGGUCGGAAACCCAGUGCUGGGUUGAGAGAGUAUACCAUUGUUGAUUUGUUGUAAAUGCAUAUAUUUUUGUUGUUUAGUAACAUAUUAUUUUGUUGAAUGAUUUACCGGUAAAUGAACAUGUUCAAAACAAAGCAUUCAUUUUAAAAAAAUGACGAUAUUCAAUAUUUGUAGCGAUAUUUAUAUAUCUAACGAAGUAUGCUAUAAAAACAGUGUUCAACCAAAUAUUUUAUUUCAAUU